UCGGAGAGUUUGAUCCUGGCUCAGGACGAACGCUGGCGGCGUGCCUAAUACAUGCAAGUCGAGCGAACAGAAGGGAGCUUGCUCCCGGAUGUUAGCGGCGGACGGGUGAGUAACACGUGGGUAACCUGCCUGUAAGACUGGGAUAACUCCGGGAAACCGGAGCUAAUACCGGAUAGUUCCUUGAACCGCAUGGUUCAAGGAUGAAAGACGGUUUCGGCUGUCACUUACAGAUGGACCCGCGGCGCAUUAGCUAGUUGGUGGGGUAAUGGCUCACCAAGGCGACGAUGCGUAGCCGACCUGAGAGGGUGAUCGGCCACACUGGGACUGAGACACGGCCCAGACUCCUACGGGAGGCAGCAG
rnacentral:rRNA from 1 species